rnacentral:rRNA from 1 species
UCGUCCCGCUUCAACGGGGCGGCGUGCAGGGUAGACUACAGGACUAGGGACCAGGUGAGGUGGACGGUAUUCCGUGGGGAGCGGUAAAAUGUGAUAAUCCUCGGAGGACCACCAAUGGCGAAGGCAGUUCACCAAAAUGGAUCCGACGGUGAGGGAUGAAAGCUAGGGGAGCGAUCCGGAUUAGAUACCCGAGUAGUCCUAGCUGUAAACUCUGCGUGCCAGAUGUUGCGUAAUCUCCGAGAUUGCGCAGUGUCGUAACGAAGGUGUUAAGCACGCCACCUGGGAAGUACGGUCGCAAGGCUGAAACUUAAAGGAAUUGGCGGGGAGACACCACAACGGGUGCGGCGUGCGGUUUAAUCGUAUUCAACACCGAGAAUCUCACCAGGGGCGACGGCACAAUGACGCUCAGUCUGAAGGGCUUAGCUGAGGAGCCGAGAGGUGGUGCAUGGCCGCCGUCAGCUCGUGCCGUGAGGUGUCCUGUUAAGUCAGGCAACGAGCGAGACCUGUAUCCAUCGUUGCUAACGCGUUCGCAAGAAUGAGCGAGCACACUAUGGAGACUGCCUUGGAAACAAGGAGGAAGGUGCAGGCUACGGCAGGUCUGUAUGCCCCGAAUCUCCUGGGCUACACGCGCGCAACAAUGGCUGUGACAAUGGGAUGCGACUCCGAAAGGAGAAGCCAAUCUUCGAAACACAGUCUCAGUAUGAAUCGAGGGUUGCAACUCACCCUCGUGACACCGGAAUCCGUAGUAAUCAGAGGUUAUCAUCCUCCGGUGAAUAUGUCCCUGUCUCUUGCACACACCGCC